rnacentral:rRNA from 1 species
CCUACGGGAGGCAGCAGUGAGGAAUAUUGGUCAAUGGACGAGAGCCUGAACCAGCCACGUAGCGUGCAGGAUGACUGCCCUAUGGGUUGUAAACUUCUUUUAUACAGGAAUAAAACGCGGCACGUGUGCCUUUUUGCAUGUACUUAUGCAUAAGGAUCGGCUAACUCCGUGCCCGCAGCCGGGGUUAUACGGAAGAUCCGAGCGUUAUCCGGAUUUAAUGGGUUUAAAGGGAGCGUAGAUGGGUUGUUAGGGCAGUGGUGAAAGGUUGCGGCUCAACCGUAAAAUUGCAAUUGGUACUGGCGGGCUUGAGUACAGUGGAGGCAGGCGGAAUUCGUGGUGUAGCGGUGAAAUGCUUAGAUAUCACGAAGAACCCCGAUUGCGAAGGCAGCUUACUAAACUGGGACUGACAUUGAUGCUCGAAAGUGUGGGUAGCAAACAGGAUUAGAUACCCCAGUAGUC